UGCGUAGGCGGGGCAAUUAGUCAGUGGUGAAAUCCUGCGGCUUAACCGUAGAACUGCCAUUGAUACUGUUGCCCUUGAGUAUAGUUGAAGUGGGCGGAAUAUGUAAUGUAGCGGUGAAACGCAUAGAGAUUACAUAGAACACCAAUUGCGAAGGCAGCUCACUAAGCUAUCACUGACGCUGAGGCACGAAAGCGUGGGGAGCGAACAGGAUUAGAUACCCUGGUAGUCC
rnacentral:rRNA from 1 species